UAAGGAAUAUUGGGCAAUGGACGCAAGUCUGACCCAGCCAUGCCGCGUGGAGGAUGAAGGUCCUCUGGAUUGUAAACUUCUUUUAUCUGGGAAGAAACCCAUGAAUUCUUUCGUGGUUGACGGUACCAGAUGAAUAAGCACCGGCUAACUCCGUGCCAGCAGCCGCGGUAACACGGAGGGUGCAAGCGUUAUCCGGAUUCACUGGGUUUAAAGGGUGCGUAGGUGGGUUGGUAAGUCCGUGGUGAAAUCUCCGAGCUUAACUCGGAAACUGCCGUGGAUACUAUCAAUCUUGAAUAUCGUGGAGGUAAGCGGAAUAUGUCAUGUAGCGGUGAAAUGCUUAGAUAUGACAUAGAACACCGAUAGCGGAGGCAGCUUGCUACACGAUCAUUGACACUGAGGCACGAAAGCGUGGGGAGCAAACAGGAUUAGAUACCCUGGUAGUCCACGCCCUAAACGAUGAUUACUCGACAUACGCGAUAC
rnacentral:rRNA from 1 species